AUAUUUUGCAUGUACUGUAUGGCAAGAUGCUAACAGAUACUUGAUUGUUAAAGGCUGGAUGCAGCAAACUUUUUCAUGGAGAAGUGUAGUUAUGUGAUGAAAUUGACCGAAUCCAUUCAUCAGCUGUCCAGUGCUUCAGGGAGGGCUUCACUAGUAUUGUGAAUGAGCUUGCACCAAGAAAAAUCCUUUUUGCCAAAAUAUACAUUGAAGCAGGAGAGGAGAUGCUUGCAGAAGAACUUCCAGUGCGAUGAUGAUACACCAUAUGAAAAUGGCUUUCACCAGGAUGGUUCAAGUCUUGAUCAAAUGGAUGAUGUGAAGAGGAAUAAGAAUCAAAGAGGGGGUAAUUAGGGCCUUCAAAGCAUACUUUCUUUAACAUGACUUUUUUCGCCCUAUAUGAAAAAUAUGAUCACUUCCUGCAAUGUGCUAUUGCAAAGAUAUGAGUCCGGAAUCAUUCAAAGAAGUCCUGUGUUGCAGAAGAGACUCUUAACACCAAAAAAUAAAAAUUGUCAUAUUUUACUUACCCUCAUGAUGUUUCAAACCUGUAUGACUUUCUUUUCUCAUGUGGGGAUAUUUUUUUAAUGAUUAUCACAGCCCACCCUUUCAGUGCAAUGGCAGUGGAUAGUGGCUCAAUUUAAAGCUUAGAGGACCCAAAAAAUGUCAUAAAAGUAGUCCAUGUGACUUGUGUAUCUAAUUUCAAGUUGUCUGAAGGCAUAUGAUAAUUUUAUUUAUGUAUUUAUUUUUGUGAGAAACAACCUGAAAUGAGAAGUUCCUUUUGAAGUGGUUUGUGUGUUCACAUGUUCGUUUUGUUUGUUUGUUUUUUGUUUUUUUUGUUUUUCUUUAAGCUUUUAAAGUGAGGUACUGUUAACUGAAUUGUGUUGAAAAAAUAACCUGUGAUGUUCAUCAAAACAUCUCCUUUUAUCUGCUCCUAAAAUGUAUUUUUGGGUGAAGUUAAAAUGAAAUGUGUAGUAAUAUUUUUAAAGCGAAAUGGCA